UAACUUACACCUUGCAGGAGAAAUGCCAUGUCAUAAAAGUGGUUUUCCCGGGGGAGGCUCAUCCUUUGUGCUUUGGAUGUGAUGCUGAUCCCUGUGAUUUCCCUAAAUGUGGGGACCUCAGCUGCCUGAUUUAAGUUAAUCAGGGGAUUAUAUUUAUUGUUUCCCUGU
ensembl:snRNA U1 U1 spliceosomal RNA